UGACACCUAUUUCUUGUGCUAAGACUUGCAAAGAUGUUAGUGGUUUUUUCGGUAAGAUCAAUAUGCUUGUUAAUUUCAUACAGUCUUCUAAUAAGAGACAAAAAUUGUUUUAGGAAUCAGGACAAACAAGUAACUCAGUUUGCAAAAUUUCUUUUAUGUUUAGCCACACUGAUAUUAAACGUUUGGAUCCGUCCCUGCUUCUAUGUAAUGUAUAAUAUUUGCAUUGAUGUCAGGUUCUGCAUGACUAGGCAUCCCAGCGAUAUAUUUGUUGAAAUUUGUGAGAUGUCUUUCCUUUCACAAGGUAUAGGUUAAUGACUUUCUUUAUGGUUUUUUUAUCACACCUAGCUGGCGCACUAUUUAUGUGGAGGAUAUUGCUUGCUCAGAUUCUUAGUUCACAGUUUUUUUAUAGUUAAGGUUUGCCUAACUAAAAAUUUGUCAAAGCAAAGUUUUACUAUAGUACAUUUGAAACAUAUAUUUUUAUUGUGUUAUGAUCUUUUUAGGCUGACUUCUAUCAAUGAAAGAACCAUCCCUUCCUAUUUCUUUGUUCUGUCAGAUAGAAAUAUAAGAAGACCCAAAAGAGCCAUUAUUUACCACUUUAGGCGGUGGGGGUGAAUUGGGGGGGGGUUACAUACAACCUAGGCAAAGUGGUUUAUGAUUGAAUCUCAGAGGCAUUCUUAUCAUUUGGUAGAUCCAAGUCCAUGGCCUAGUUCGGGUUCACUCGGAGCUUUGGCAACCAUAUUAAACAGAAAAUCAAUUGGAACACAAAAUAAGAAAGGUUGCAUCUUAAAUUAAAAUCUAUUGUUCAUAUGAUCUAUUUGUAUUGAAUGAAUGGAAUGCUAAUUGUCCAAUUCAAUAGCUAUUACUUCAAAUGUUAUCUGACUUUGUUGCUAUGUCAAAAUUGUGGACAUUAUUAUGAAAUGGAAGCCUUGUAUGAACUCUCUCCGGUUGACAAGUCUUAAUUCAUUACAUUUUUAUACCGGAACAAAUGCGGCCUUAUUAUCAUAGGUUAGUGUCCUGCUGUGUGCCAUUCUUUUGCUAGAAUACAUGACGGUGAUGUGUCUCUAAAGCCUAAUGCAUUCUUGUUUAAAGAUUAAAGAAUUAUAUACUUAUGUAGGUAUCAGCUGAAGAUAUUAAGUUAGUCUUGUUCUAUUUACACAGCACAUCUCCUAAAUUGAUUAAGUUAAUCCAUCCAUUCAUCAUUUUCUGUAUGUGGGAUAUGUUAGAUGUGGUGAAGAAGGAAUGGGUUGUCUAUAUGAUCACUAAUGUGAUCAACGGGCCAAAAGUACUAAGAAUUUCUGCAUUAUAACUUCUGGUUAACAUGAGAAAGGUGCAUGCUGACUUGUUUGGAAAAUAGCAGAGGGAAAAGAAUGCAAGACAAUUUGACCUCCUCAAUUUGGUGGUGCUUUAAGGGGAAUUGGAGAUGGUGUUAAACUAUGCUUCUUUGGCAACUAUUUGGUUAGUUUUCUGCAAUGUGGUCCUUUGUUUCUAGCUACGCUAAGUAAAGGCCUAACUAAUACAAAGGUGUUGGUGGUUUUUUUCAUCUUUGUUUUCUUUUGUUCAAAUGUGAAAAUGUUUAACUAGAUUGACUUGUGGUUUUUUUCCUGAAUUUUAACUCAACUUUGUUUUCCUUUUCCUUCUUUAUUUUCUGACACAGAGCAAGAAGCUACUGCCACAUAAGGAGAUUGCUCGCACCUUCGUCGAAGACGUCAAGUAAGUUUAGACUCUUACUCUCUUUCUUUAUCACUUCAAAAUCUCACUUUAUUUUGUUUGAUUUGAGUGUGGUUAGUUCAUGCAUUUUGAAGUAGCUCAAAACCCUCUCAGCAAAGUCGCUCCCCUUCAGUCUAGUUGGGACCUCACAGGUGCCGCAGAGUUUGUUCUUUUUUCUCUGCUCUGCGGCAAAUUUUCUGCUCUGUUAGACUAUAAUAUCAGCAGGUGUUUUACUGGAGUUUGUGGCUGUCAAUAAUAACUCAUGGUCUAGGACAUAGGUAUUUUUGGUGUAUCAAUGGUGUCUUUUUUUUUAUUUAGUUAGUUUUGUGAUUUUUCCAACUCAUUGCUUACUAAGGCUUAGCAAUGCAUCUAUAUGCUCUGUAAUUCUUAUAUUGAUUAUAGUUUAAAUGCAAAUUGUAUUUGGAUUUGAAGAUAUCCAUAUUGUAUUCUAGUAAUUUGUAAUUAGAUUUGAG